GGCUCAGUGGCUCAGUGGUAGAGCACUUGCCUUGCAUGCAUGAGGCCCUGGGUUU
rnacentral:tRNA from 1 species